rnacentral:tRNA from 1 species
AGCACCGUGGCGCAGUGGGAGCGCGAUAGGCCUAUAACCUGUAGGUCCGAAGAUCGAAACUUCGCGGUGCUA